AUAAGAAUCUAAAAGAUCUCAUAUGCGGCUUAGUACCAUCACACCA
rnacentral:sRNA from 1 species